GACAGUUUAGAAGUAGGAGAUCUGCUAGGGGAGAAACGGUUAACUCAGGGCAAUAUAUGGAACAGAAGGCAAUACACUAAAAAACCUGACCCUGAAGGAAACAUUUCAGCUGCUGACUGGCAAGUAUCCAAACUCUCUAUGCUGCAAGGACAUCCCUUUUUUCUAUCUCAUGGAACCUAUUGUUUUACCUUACUGCUUUUCAAUGCGUUUCUAAAACUGGCAGGCAAGAGAUGUCCACAAAAGACAUGUAGAAAUCCCAUAUUGACUUGUGUGGAAUGAGUAGCUGCUGGAGCUAGGUGAACUUUUUCAAAUGUUGAUAUACAAGUUCAGAAGGGGACAGAAUCGUAUGAGGAAGGCCAAGCCCAAAGAGGAAGCAUGAAUAUUGAAACCUAAAUCAAAAAUGGAGCUCAAUUUGUCUGUCAGCAGUUUUGCGUGAAAAAUGCCCUGGCAUUUAUCAAUUAUAUGAAAGUCUGAGUAUGACGCAUGCACUAAGAACGAAAUGCCACUUUCAACAUAUGAUCUGGCUGGUGCUGUUUCCAUUUUAUUAUUGCAUUACAGUAGAAUUCAGUGUGUUAUAUCUGUAAAUGUAAAUACAUAGUGAGAGCAGUACUGCCAACCCUACAUUGCAAAAUACGGCAAUAAGAAAUGAUUAUUAAAUAAAAUUGUUGUUUGGCAGUUGCACCCCCACCUCCACCUUUGAUUCCUGCUCCACCCAAAAUUUAAAGUCAACUGCCUGGCAGUGGCAUUAGCAUGUCUAUUCGGGCAGUGCUAAGUGAGUCAUUAGACUUCAUGGCUCGUUAUAAUUUACCUGAUUCCUUCUAAACUUUUUAUUCAACAGGUAUUAAUGGUCCUCUUUUUUUUUUUUUUUAAUGGUCUUGAUGUUCCACCAGUUAAGCUUCCUUUGUUUUGCAGUUCUGCUGGCUGUUGGCUGCUCCUGUUAAUGUAGCUCCUAUUUCACAGCCCUGCAGACUGUCUUUAACUCAUUGCAAUGAAACUAUAUUUAUUUUUGCUUCAAUCUUAAACUGAAUAAUACAGCCCUGCUCCCCUGAUAUAUUAGUAAAGCUUCUAGUUUCUCUUUAAUUGGAGAAAAUGGGAUGGGAUGAUGCACCUCACCAUUUGCAUCCCCCUCUUUAAAAUUCUAGAUCUACCCAUGAAUGGAUCCAGCGUAUGUUGUGAUACAAGUCAGUUAAAGGUUAGUGCCUCAGCCGGUGUCACAGGAAAGUGUUCUCUGGCUUAAAUAGGGAGAUUGAGACACCACUGGAUGCUGAUGGCUUAAGGCGCAGGCAGAAGUGACAAUUUUUGUGUGAUCUGGCUCCUGAAACCACUCUACAACUGUGACCAAACACAAGCAUACAGCUGCAGAGCACUUCAAAAGGGCCCAGUCCCACAAAAAUCUGAAUUCUCAUU